UACGUAGGGUGCGAGCGUUGUCCGGAAUUAUUGGGCGUAAAGAGCUCGUAGGCGGUUCGUCGCGUCGAAUGUGAAAACCCGGGGCUCAACUCCGGGCCUGCAUUUGAUACGGGCGGACUAGAGUUCGGUAGGGGAGACUGGAAUUCCUGGUGUAGCGGUGAAAUGCGCAGAUAUCAGGAGGAACACCGGUGGCGAAGGCGGGUCUCUGGGCAGUAACUGACGCUGAGGAGCGAAAGCGUGGGGAGCGAACAGG
rnacentral:rRNA from 1 species